UGGCAUCACUAGGGCCCACAUUUGGAAC
rnacentral:piRNA from 3 species